UACAGAGGGUGCAAGCGUUAAUCGGAAUUACUGGGCGUAAAGCGCACGUAGGUGGCUGGGUAAGUUGGAUGUGAAAUCCCCGGGCUUAACUUGGGAAUUGCAUUCAAGACUGCCUUGCUAGAGUGUGGAAGAGGGAAGCGGAAUUCCAGGUGUAGCGGUGAAAUGCGUAGAUAUCGGGAGGAACACCAGUGGCGAAGGCGGCUCUCUGGGCAGCAACUGACGCUGAGACACGAAAGCAUGGGGAGCAAACAGG
rnacentral:rRNA from 1 species